UGGCCUUGACAUACUAAGAACUUUCCAGAGAUGGAUUGGUGCCUUCGGGAACUUAGAUACAGGUGCUGCAUGGCUGUCGUCAGCUCGUGUCGUGAGAUGUUGGGUUAAGUCCGCAACGAGCGCAACCCUUUUCCUUAUUUGCCAGCGGGUCAUGCCGGGAACUUUAAGGAUACUGCCAGUGACAAACUGGAGGAAGGCGGGGACGACGUCAAGUCAUCAUGGCCCUUACGGCCAGGGCUACACACGUGCUACAAUGGUCGGUACAAAGGGUUGCUACCUCGCGAGAGGAUGCUAAUCUCAAAAAGCCGAUCGUAGUCCGGAUCGCAGUCUGCAACUCGACUGCGUGAAGUCGGAAUCGCUAGUAAUCGCGGAUCAGAAUGCCGCGGUGAAUACGUUCCCGGGCCUUGUACACACCGCCCGUCACACCAUGGGAGUUUGUUGCACCAGAAGUAGGUAGUCUAACCGCAAGGAGGACGCUUACCACGGUGUGGCCGAUGACUGGGGUGAAGUCGUAACAAGGUAGGCGUACUACA
rnacentral:rRNA from 1 species